rnacentral:rRNA from 1 species
UACGUAGGGGGCAAGCGUUGUCCGGAAUCAUUUGGCGCAAAGAGCGUGUAGGCGGCCAGAUAAGUCCGCUGUGAAAACUCGAGGCUCAACUUCGAGCUGUCGGUGGAAACUAUUUGGCUAGAGUCCGGAAGAGGAGAGUGGAAUUCCUGGUGUAGCGGUGAAAUGCGCAGAUAUCAGGAAGAACACCCGUGGCGAAGGCGGCUCUCUGGUACGGAACUGACGCUGAGACGCGAAAGCGUGGGGAGCGAACAGG